GAAAUAUAUAAUUUGAAGCUUCUAACUUCAUAAAUAGCAUUUGUGUUAAUAUUUCU
rnacentral:tRNA from 1 species